AGGAAUUUGCCCCCGGUCCAGCCAGAAGAGGGGGAAUUGAUGCCAGGUCUUCAGAUGUGACCAGCUUCUGUAACUGCUUCUUGUUCAUUUGAUUUUUAUUCUGUGAGAAAUAUUUCUCUUGCUAUUUCACCAGA
rfam:Heterocephalus glaber contig215891, whole genome shotgun sequence.